AUGGUAGUUCUAACUUCUAAGCAAAUACUUCCGUGGCUCGCCAUUGAAUCUAUCUGGAUUGACAAACAAGAUGAGGAGAUUGGUUUUAUCUUUUACUGCUUGUCUAUUAGUUUGGGUUGGGAGACAUCAGGACAAAUCAUAUCUGCCGAAACUGUGUUGGACGUGUCGUCACACCUGCCGCAAGAACUGCAACAAGGACACGACCAAAGACGUGCAUGUCGUGUUCUUGAUUUAUGCGCAGUGGUAAAAUGCCACAUAUGCCAGAACAAGAACCAGUCUGGUGACAACGCAUUUUUAGCUUUGAGCCUGUUGUAG
rnacentral:rRNA from 1 species